GGAGACUAUAGGAACCCGUGUUAUCCACGGCGGACACGUUUUGAAUUUUUCUGACCGGUUCUCGAGAUGGUUUUCCGAUACAGGAAGCCACGACCAAGAUUCGAUGCCAAAUAUAUUUAAUCCAUUGAUGUCUAUACCCCAAAUGCCCUCGAAGCAUAAUUUUAUAUCACUGUUAAAUAUUGCAUGCCGACAGCGCGAUUUUAAAAAGCUGACCGGUCGCGAAAAAAACGUUAACACUGGAGUAAGACGUACUCGUGCACGCACGCUAUCAAGGCCGUGAUCAUGUUAUGGAGGGAGCACCGAAACGGGGGCACAGGCGACGGUACGUACCUGUGAUCUUUUACAAGUUGUUAGAGACUCCUUAUGCUCAGAGGGAGUGCGCAAGGUAGUCGCCAUUUUCCUGUACUCCACUUGAAAAUCUACCUUCUAACGUCGACCAGCUAUAUAGGGUGUGCUGGAACCGAUUAUUCGAACUUUUUGUACACCUGGUACUUGUCAAAAUAAGAAAAAAAGAGUUUCCAAGUUAGAAAGAAAAAUCUUAUUUCGUGGGAACAGGCAUUCGAAAUGUCUCUUAGACGGUUGCUGGUAUUAUUACCAUUAUUCUUAUCGUCAUUUUACAUCUACGACCAUCUAGAAUCUACUGUCGUGGGCGAUGUCAGAUACCAAUCUUGAAGUGAACGUGUUCGCAAACUUAUGUUUGCACAUUCGCGGAAUUCCCAUGCAGAGUCUGGUGAAACGUUUUACGAUAGCAUUUUACUGCCCAAGUUAAAUAAAAAUAUAUCUCUCGAGAAA